UACGGAGGAGGCAAGCGUUAUCCGGAAUUAUUGGGCGUAAAGCGUCCGCAGGUGGCACUUCAAGUCUGUCGUCAAAGACUGGGGCUUAACCCUGGAAAGCCGGUGGAUACUGCCGGGCUAGAGUCCGGAAGAGGCGAGUGGAAUUCCUGGUGUAGCGGUGGAAUGCGCAGAUAUCAGGAGGAACACCGAUGGCGAAGGCAGCUCGCUGGGACGGUACUGACGCUGAGGCGCGAAAGCGUGGGGAGCGAACAGG
rnacentral:rRNA from 1 species